rnacentral:rRNA from 1 species
GACGAACGCUGGCGGCGUGCUUAACACAUGCAAGUCGAGCGGAAAGGCCCUUCGGGGUACUCGAGCGGCGAACGGGUGAGUAACACGUGAGUAACCUGCCCCAGACUUUGGGAUAACCCUCGGAAACGGGGGCUAAUACCGGAUACGACACAGCUUCGCAUGGGGUCUGUGUGGAAAGUUUUUCGGUUUGGGAUGGGCUCGCGGCCUAUCAGCUUGUUGGUGGGGUGUUGGCCUACCAAGGCGACGACGGGUAGCCGGCCUGAGAGGGCGACCGGCCACACUGGGACUGGGACACGGCCCAGACUCCUACGGGAGGCAGCAGUGGGGAAUAUUGCACAAUGGGCGGAAGCCUGAUGCAGCGACGCCGCGUGGGGGAUGACGGCCUUCGGGUUGUAAACCUCUUUCAGCAGGGACGAAGCGUAAGUGACGGUACCUGCAGAAGAAGCGCCGGCCAACUACGUG